rnacentral:rRNA from 1 species
UACGUAGGUGGCAAGCGUUGUCCGGAUUUAUUGGGUUUAAAGGGUGCGUAGGCGGUCUAUUAAGUCAGUGGUGAAAGACGGUAGCUCAACUAUCGAGGUGCCAUUGAUACUGAUGGACUUGAGUGCACACGAGGUAGGCGGAAUGGACGGUGUAGCGGUGAAAUGCAUAGAUAUCGUCCAGAACACCGAUAGUGAAGACAGCUUACCAGAGUGCAACUGACGCUGAGGCACGAAAGUGUGGGGAUCAAACAGGAUUAGAAACCCCCGUAGUCC